rnacentral:ncRNA from 1 species
AGGAACGCUGGAGAGAAGGUCGAAUCCGGGGGAUGCGGCCUCGCCGAAGGAGAAAGGGUCGGCGCACGGCCCGAAACUCUCAGGCCCAAUGACAGCGGGGG